GGCGCUAUGGCGGAGCGGUCACGCGGGGGAUUGCAACUCCCCUCACCCACGUUCGAAUCGUGGUGGCGCCUCCA
rnacentral:tRNA from 1 species